UGUCAUUGCCUUAGUAAUCCUGCUCAGUACCAGAGGAACUGCAGGUUCAGACAUUUGGUGUAUGUGCUUGGCUGAGGAGCCAACGGGGCGAAGCUACCAUCUGUGGGAUCAUUACUGAAGGCCUCUAAGUCAGAAUCCCACCCAGGUAGAACGCUAUGGCAGUGCUGCAGGGCCUCGGUUGGCCUCGGAUAGCUGAUCUCCCGCGGUCCCCGCCCGCAGGCCGCUCCAACCCCCUCAUCCUGGGAAAUGGGGUGCGGCCGGAAAGGCAGCCACCCCCUCGCCCGUCACGCAACGCUCGUUUGUGGGGAACCUGACGCUAAACCAUUUGUAGACGACCUGCUUCUGGGUUGGGGUUUCCUACGUAGCAGAGCAGCUCCCUCACUGCCAUCUAUUGGAAGUCAGCCCUGGCCAGAGGAUUU
rnacentral:ncRNA from 1 species